rnacentral:rRNA from 1 species
CCUACGGGUGGCAGCAGUGAGGAAUAUUGGUCAAUGGACGAGAGUCUGAACCAGCCAAGUCGCGUGAAGGAUGACUGCUCUAUGGGUUGUAAACUUCUUUUAUAAAGGAAUAAAACGCGGCACGUGUGCCUUUUUGCAAGUACUUUAUGAAUAAGGAUCGGCUAACUCCGUGCCAGCAGCCGCGGUAAUACGGAGGAUCCGAGCGUUAUCCGGAUUUAUUGGGUUUAAAGGGAGCGUAGAUGGGUUGUUAAGUCAGUUGUGAAAGUUUGCGGCUCAACCGUAAAACUGCAAUUGAUACUGGUGGACUAGAGUACAGUUGAGGUAGGCGGAAUGUGUGGUGUAGCGGUGAAAUGCUUAGAUAUCACGCAGAACCCCGAUUGCGAAGGCAGCUUACUAAACUGUAACUGACAUUGAGGCACGAAAGCGUGGGUAUCAAACAGGAUUAGAUACCCCUGUAGUC